AUCAGCAAAGUAACCAUCUCCUCUGCUUCACUGCGUUGAACCUGCUGUCCAUCCUCUUGGUCUGUUCUCUGCUUUUCAUGACGUCAAACUGAGAAGACUUUAAUUUGGACUGAUUUUAUGCACUAGUGAAGUUAUUUUGGCCUGUAAGGCUUUUAAAGCAGAAUACGCUACAAUAAUGCAACUUAAACACUGAAUUUCUGCAGUUAACAGUGGACUGGCGUAAAACUAGCUGGAUACUUGGCUCUUCUAAUGCUGUUCUUGGCAGAACUGGUCUUCAUUUAAUUGGUUUCCUGGCACCACCCGGCUUUUAAACAUCGUCUGUUAAUUUUCUGCAGGGUUUGGGUCCUGAAGCUUAAUAUUAUGAGGAAAUAUUUAUGUUGCAACAUAAACAGAUUCUGCUUGCUGACGAUGACUACCGUUAGCUUUAGCUGUCAAGUUGUCAACAUAAUGCACUAAAUCUUAAAUGUACACUUCAUAUAUAGAAGAAAAAAAGGAUGCAGUGCUUUGCCAACAUAACUAAUUAGAUAACGAAAUUCUACAGUAUAACAUUUCACAGGUCAAGAAGAAGUUUUAAUUAAAAAUAAAAGUUAGUGAGAGAGAAUGAAUUAGGUCAUUUAUGACAACCUUAACAGGUAGAUGUGCUGCAGAAUUUGGUGUGUUUCAGUUCAGCUAAAAUAAAAAUAUUAAUAAUAAAAAGGCAACCCACACACAACAACAUAUGAACAGUGGAGCAGGUGGUUAAAUUAGCUUAUCAACCACUGCUGUGUUAGAUUAACAUGCAUCUUAUGUUUCAAUGCGACUUACACUGCUGGUUCUGACGUUAGAAAAGUCCUUCAGAGGAAAGUUUAAGCCUAUCUGGGUUACUGUGCCUUGAAACCAGAUAAAGAACUGUAUCAUUUCUGCCAAAAAAUAAUAGGGAUCUAAAGUCCAGAAUUAUUACACUGCAAAAACACAAAA